AUGCGGGUCCAUUUCGUAACGCUUACGGUGAUAAAGAAAAGUAACUCCCAUCCGCAUGAGAGGCAUCGCUACCGGGCCGGGCCUCGAUUCCUUUCCUUGUCUCCAUUCUCAUUGAUUCGCUUCUUCGCGCAAGCACUUGGUUCGCCCCUUACUAUAACCAUCCCACUCAAUCUUUUACACCGAUGUUUCGUACUCUCUCGACCAGGUCAUCAUAAGAAAAUACUGCCAAAUCUUUCCGAAAUGAGAGAAGGAGGGAAGGCGCGCUACAACUAA
rnacentral:rRNA from 1 species